UCCAGCUUAUCGCUGGCGGUCUCCUGCAUGUCCAGCCUGGGUAAGGUUCUUCGCGUUGCGUCGAAUUAAACCACAUGCUCCACCGCUUGUGCGGGCCCCCGUCAAUUCCUUUGAGUUUCAACCUUGCGGCCGUACUUCCCAGGCGGAAUACUUAAUGCGUUAGCUGCGGCACCGGCGGUAACCCGCCGACACUUAGUAUUCAUAGUUUAAGGCGUGGACUAC
rnacentral:misc_RNA from 1 species